rnacentral:ribozyme from 1 species
AGGAGCGUGGGCUUUAGAGGGAACAUGGAGAGACGAAGCGAAAGACAGAGAAGAAGAAGAGGAAGGAGAUGGAGAAAGAGAAAGAGAAAGAGAACGAGAAGAGGUUGUUUG